ACCUUCAUAUGAGCACACAUUGAGUGUGCAGCGUGCUUACACAUUAAAAUCAUGACCCACACAGUGAGUAUCUUGUGAGCUCAUGGUGACUUCCCUUACGAAAAUUAACCAUGGUUUUACUACAGUUAACUUAAAACCAAAAAAGCAUGGUUACUGUAGUAAAACCAUGGUAACCACAAAAUAACCAUGGUUUUGACAACCAUGUUUUUCUAAAACCACAGAACCAUGGUUAGUGUAGCCGUUUAGUGUAGUAAAACCAUGGUCAAAGACCCGAGGUGAGGUAUACAUUAAAGGGUUAACCUGAAGUAGUAAAACCAAAAGAAAGUCAGCAUCUCUUUAGUGUCCUCACUAAUAUAAGAAAUUACUAGUUUGUCUUCCACCCAGUGCAAGCUUUUUACAUGAACCCCCAAACCCCACCCAGAAAAACACAGCACAACUUAUUAAAGUUUAUUUAAUUUAUUUUAAUGUUUGAUUGUUCUGUGAAAUACAGUGGUAAUUAAGUGCUAAAAAUCUACAAGAAUUGAAUUUGUUUCACGUUUUUUUUUUUUUUUUUUGCGCCACUGGGUCAAUACAACGUAGUACGCAUGUGUCUGCAGGAAGAGCCGCUUGUGCGAGUGCUCCAUACUCCAAUCCAGUAGGUGGCGGUAAAUGCACCUUAAGUUGGUUUGCCACCCACCAUUUAAACAACAAAAGAAGAAGAAGAAGAAGAAGAAGCCGCUUGUGCGCAUGUGUCUGCAUCCAAAGGUUACCACGACAAGUUUGCGACUGAGUAAAUACAGAUACUACAGUUCGUGAUCUGGAGCUUGACUUCACAUGUUUUGUGGUGAUUAAAGGCGGAGUCCAUGAUGUUUGAAAGCCAAUGUUGAUAUUUGAAAUCACCUAAACAAACACGCCCCUACCCCAAUAGAAUCUGGACCUUCUGUUGAUAGACCCGCCACACACAUAUGCAACCCGGCAAGGAUGUCGGUUAGUAGACACGCUCCUUACUGCUGAUUGGCUAUAAGUGUGUUUUGGUAGUCGGCCCGUCUCCUUUUCCAAAGCGUUUUUCAAACAUCGUGGACUCCGCCUUUAACAAAUUGUGCGGUGCUUUUGGCAUUGUCUAUCCAUGUAUAAUUGUGAUGUUCCAGGAGUGCUAAUGGAAGCUACACAGUAUGUAGAUGUUUGUUCCAGUAUGUUUAUGUGUGUGUACCUGGUAAUUAUCACGUUGUGGGGACCGAAUGUCCCCACAAAGAUAGGAAUACCAGUAAAUUUUGACCUCGUGGGGACAUUUGUGAGGUCCCCAUGAGGAACCAAGCUUAUAAAUCAAACGGAAUGAUGUUUCUUGAAAAUCUAAGGUCGCAGAAAGUUUUCUGUGAUGGUUGGGGUAAGGGUUUAGGGAAGGGAAUAGAAUAUACAGUUUGUACAGUAUAAAAUGCAUUACGUUUAUGGAAUGUCCCCACAAAACAUGGAAACCAGAAUGUGUGUGUGUGUGUGCGUGCCAUGGAACAAAUAUUUAUUUUAUACCUUUUUGUGUGUUCUGUUUUUGACUUUUUUCCCCUGAUAUCAAGACACCAAAAUAAUGUUUUAAUACGCAUUUUCAUGUGUUUGUAAAGAAAAUAAAUGGUGUACUUCACUGUUA